rnacentral:rRNA from 1 species
AAAAGAAACUAACCAGGAUUCCCCUAGUAGCGGCGAGCGAAGAGGGAGAAGCCCAGCGCCGAAUCCCCGCCCGCCCAGCGGGCGCGGGACAUGUGGCGUACGGAAGAUCGUUUUCCCGGUGUCGGCGUGGGGGCCUGAGUCCUUCUGAUCGAGGCUCAACCCCAGGACGGUGUGAGGCCGGUAGCGGCCCCCGUCGCGCCGGGGCGCGGUCUUCCCGGAGUCGGGUUGCUUGGGAAUGCAGCCCAAAGUGGGUGGUAAACUCCAUCUAAGGCUAAAUACUGGCA